UACGAGGGGGGCAAAUGUUGUUCGGAAUCACUGGGCGUAAAGGGAGCGUAGGCGGGUGUUUAAGUUAGGUGUUUAAUCCCGGGGCCCAACCCCGGACAGGCACCUAAAACUGGACAUCUUGAAUAGUGGAGAGGACGACGGAAUUGGGGGUGUAGCGGUGGAAUGCGUAGAGAUCCCAAGAACACCAGUUGCGAAGGCGGUCGUCUGGACACAUAUUGACGCUGAGGCUCGAAAGCAUGGGGAGCAAACAGG
rnacentral:rRNA from 1 species